GAAGUACCACCUGUCAACUCCAAGCUUCUCCAUGAACUUGAAUUGAGCUUUCACCAAAACACCAUGGCCAGGGAAUUCAUGCCAUCCUCCCAAGGCCAGUUCUUUGUAGGUGAACCAAAAGGAUCUCCUCCGGUAUCUCGGAACGUAUGCCAGAAUGCCACACUGAACCACAACCAAACCUGUAGCACAAAACAAAUAUGUGUAAUCCUAGUGUAG
rnacentral:rRNA from 1 species